UACGGGGGGGGCAAGCGUUGUUCGGAAUUACUGGGCGGAAAGGGCUCGUAGGCGGCCAACUAAGUCAGACGUGAAAUCCCUCGGCUUAACCGGGGAACUGCGUCUGAUACUGGAUGGCUUGAGUGUAGGAGAGGGAUGCGGAAUUCCAGGUGUAGCGGUGAAAUGCGUAGAUAUCUGGAGGAACACCGGUGGCGAAGGCGGCAUCCUGGACUACUACUGACGCUGAGUGAGCGAAAGCCAGGGGAGCAAACGGG
rnacentral:rRNA from 1 species